UCUGCGCUAAGGAAGCAUCCAGGAUGGCAGCCUGUUUUCUGGCUUGGGAGGUUGGGGGAGCGUCCAUCUGGUUUCCAAAGACAGGGGACAUAGGUGGAGACGCAGAGUUGGUGGGAGGUUCGGAUUUGAACUUCUUAACCGUGACGCAUCGCUGGGGCAUGGAUGCCGAACGGCAGGAGCAGAGGAAAUGACUUCAAGGCAUCUGCAGCCGGCGUCAGGACAUCGGGGCUGAGUGACCUCCGGAUUCCACAAUGAGGAUAUCCUCACAGGCCCUGGGACAGCCCUGGUAGAGAAACCGGUGGCAAGGAGAGAGGAUGUUUCCAAGCAGUUCAGCACGAAGGUGCUACAGAAAACGAUAAGGUGGUGACGGAACUGAGACAAAGUUGUUUCCUGCUGACGGAGGAACCAGGGGGGACAAAGGUGCUUGUUAACCCAUCUGACUCCACACUGUCACCUGUGUGAGAAUCUGGUGCCUCUGUGCCAUCCCUCCAGGUCGUUUCCUCUGGCGAAGCACUCAUCACUUAGACUGCACUGUGAGUCCAUCCAAAUGCCACCCCAACUCCCCAGUGCCCCGAAGAGCACGUAGGAUGGUGUUCAGAACAAACAGUUGUUGGACGUAUAGAUGGAAACGUGUACGGACUGGGUGAUCAUCUAGCUCCUUCGUUAACCAGCAGAAAAACAUUGAAUAAACCAGAAUCCCAUCCAAAACGUGACAUAAAACAUCGUCUUACUAUGCUCACAGGUUCCAGGAAUCAGAAAUUCAACCAGAACCUGCAGGGAAAGGGCUGGACUCAUCUGGAACUUCACUCACGUGUCAGACAGGUAAAUGGGCCAAGACCCUGGCCUUGAUGAAGGAUCGAUGAGGGGACCAGGGAGCCUUGAAGAAAAGGCACCAAAAAGCCAACAAGGGAACAACAACAACAAGAUCUGCUGCCUUUGAUGCUGGCAUCCCACAUGGGUGCCAGUCUGAGUCCCGGCUGCUCCACUUCCAAUCCAGCUCCCUGCAAAUGACCUGGGAAAAGCAGCAGAAGACGGCCCAAGUGCUUGAGCCUUUGCACCCAUGCAGGAGGCCUGGAUGAAGCUCCUAGCUCCUGACUUCAGCUUGGUUCAGCCCUGGCUAUUGCAGCCAUCUGGAGAGUGAGCCACUGGAUAGAAGAUUCUCUCUCUCUUUCUCUCUCUCCUCCCCCCUUUCUCUCUAACUUUCAAAUAAACAAAUAAUUCUGAAAAGAAAAGAAAAAAUAGUACCUCAAAAGAAGAAUUUAAAAUAUCUCAUAUUUUUUACAUUGAUUGUAUCUUGAAAUGUUGACAUUCUGGACAUAUUAGUUAAAAAAUAUUAUUUAAGACACCCAUUCCCUUUUACUGUUUCUUAAAAGGAGCCAUUAGAAAAUUUUUAACUGCAGGCAUGGCUCCUGUUCUGUUUCUCACAGGCAACACUGACUUAGAGUUCCCUCCAAUGGUCCCCUUUAGGAGCUGGUUCUUCUCUAUCUGUGUCUG